AUUCCAUGAUGAGGGCAGUUUCGUAAUAAAUCUUUGGACCUUUCCCAUUCCUCAUACAUGGACUCAUCAUCCAUUUGUUGGAAGGCAGUGAUCUCAUUCCUCAAUUU
rfam:Gossypium raimondii chromosome 2, whole genome shotgun sequence.